rnacentral:rRNA from 1 species
GAUGAACGCUGGCGGCGUGCCUAAUACAUGCAAGUCGAGCGAACGGACGAGAAGCUUGCUUCUCUGAUGUUAGCGGCGGACGGGUGAGUAACACGUGGAUAACCUACCUAUAAGACUGGGAUAACUUCGGGAAACCGGAGCUAAUACCGGAUGAUAUUUUGAACCGCAUGGUUCAAAAGUGAAAGACGGUCUUGCUGUCACUUAUAGAUGGAUCCGCGCUGCAUUAGCUAGUUGGUAAGGUAACGGCUUACCAAGGCAACGAUGCAUAGCCGACCUGAGAGGGUGAUCGGCCACACUGGAACUGAGACACGGUCCAGACUCCUACGGGAGGCAGCAGUAGGGAAUCUUCCGCAAAGGGCGAAAGCCUGACGGAGCAACGCCGCGUGAGUGAUGAAGGUCUUCGGAUCGUAAAACUCUGUUAUUAGGGAAGAACAUAUGUGUAAGUAACUGUGCACAUCUUGACGGUAACUAAUCAGAAAGCAACGGCUAACUACGUG